rnacentral:lncRNA from 1 species
UGCAUAGUCUGGUAUCUGUUUACAGUCAUUUCUAGCAAUGAAUUAAGUUAAUUAAUCAGACAAAAGUUUGCAUUGUUGGAGCUUUUAGCUGACGUCACUUUUGUGCCUUGAAGUGAAGCUGAACAAACCUUGAGAAGAGUCUCCUUCAAUCUGCCGUAUAGUAGUAGCCUAACUAACACACACACUCAAUUACAGCCCAAUUUCGUUCUUUAUAAUCUACUGGCACUGUCCGCAAACAACGCAAAUCUGGGGGAACAUAACGCUAUUCUAACAUAGUAACUGACGCGAAGGAGGAUACAUAAAGUGACGGAAAUUAGCUUGCAGAGCUGUGAUGUCACAGAAUUGAGGAUCCUUCAGCAAUAUGGAGUCUGGAGAGCGGCUGGCCUCCCCAUCGUCAGCCCCGUCCUCCCUGCAUAUCACCACGUCCGCGGUCUCCUCCGUCGGCUCCUCACCUGCCUCGGCCAAGACACCCUCCUCAAAGUGCAGCGUCACCCCCACCCACGCCGCUCUGGGCUCCCCUCUCACCACCUGUGGUACGUAAACACACACACACACACACACACACACACACACACACACACACACACACACACAGAUCAAUCACGCUACAUGCGAAUACAUGAGCUAUAUUCACCUCUAACUCAUCAUAUUUCAUUAUUCUCCAACUACAAAUUAAACAAGAAAAGAGCAUUCUUUAGUGUUAAUUAUGAGGGUUCAGUAAGAUGAAGAAAGCACCGUCUUCUCACACUUUAUUUCCUGACAGUUUGUGGAGAAAUUAAAAAGCUUUAGCAUUAAUCGACACCAGCAAUGAAAAAUCCUCUGUGUAAGACGUCGCACACCCGCUCUGUUUCUUGACAACCUUUAGCACCAGUUUAGCCCGUUGUGAUUUGACAGGUCUGUCAGCCAAAUAGAGUGCUGUGGCCUCCGCUGCCUCAAACAUCCUCUGUUUUCUCUGAAUACUAAUUGUGUCCGACGCUAUUGUGGCGAGCAGCGGUGAUGCAUAAACUGUCAGGUUACCCUGACCAGAAAAU